CUCGAAUGUGUUAUGCUGGGGUUAAGGGCGCGUGAUUACUAAACCACUACAUGUGAGUGAUUAGUUUGGCACCGCCCUAAUCCCCGGUAGUCUGAAUAAGAUAAAAAGAUGCUGUUAAACUUCCCUUGUUCCUUUUGCUACCUUGUACGCGCCAUGUUGUUUCUGCUCUGCGAGGCCUGUUUGUCAUCCCUGUCGUGGAGCCAGCCAACUGUGGACUGAAACCUCUACAAACUGACAAGAAUUAGAAAAGUGGUUACAACCUGGAAGACCUUCCAGUGCCCCUCCCUGACAUGGAUUUCCCUCUCCCCACCAGAGGUAACCAAUUUCCUGUUUUUUGUUAUAAUAAUUUUUAAUAGUUUUUCCACUUACCUAUGUAACCUCAAACCACGUGACUUAGUUUUAAUUGUUUUGGAACUUUACAUAAAUGAAUCAUACUGUUUGUGUUCUUUUGUGGGUUGUUUCUUUCAACACCAUGUGAGGUUCAUCCUUUCUUUUUAUUUCUCUUCUUCCCCACUCCCUCCUCCUCUUCCUCCUCUUCCUCCUCUUCCUCCUCUUCCUCCUCUUCCUCCUUUUCCUCCUUUUCCUCCUUUUCCUCCUUUUCCUCCUUCUCUACUGAAGGUCAAAUUCAGGGCACUCUACCACUGAGGUACAUCCUCACUUCCCCCCACUUUUUUUUUACUUUUUAUUCCUUGCUAAGUUGCCCAGGCAGGACUCGAACUUGUGAUCUCCCUGCCUCAGCCUCCUACAGUGCUGAGAUUACAGCCAUC
rnacentral:lncRNA from 1 species